AGACGGUGGACUCCUGCUCGUCCAGCAGGUCGGCCUCGCCGAAAUAUUCGCCGUCGCCCAGCAGGGCUAUCCGCAGGUCCUCGCCGUGAGGUCCCUUGCUGAUGACCUCAGCCUGUCCGCUUGCCACAAUGAAGAAACGCUGCUUGUCCUUACCCUCCUCGACGAAGAGCUGGUCGACAUCCACCUCUUUCGCUUCGAACGAGCUGACCAGUCGGUGCAGUAUCUCGUCGUCGAACUCAGAGAACAGGGGGAUGGCUUUCAGGUUCUUUGCCGUGAACGAGGGUACGCCGUUGACAUACUGGAUGGGCAGUCGGUCGUUCUUGCGGAGUUCGACCUUCGUGCGGUUUACGCGGAACGUGCCGCCGCUGACCUGCACCCAGGGCAGGAGUUUCAGCAGUAGUCUCGGGGUGAUGGAGCCCAUCUGAGGGGCGGUCUUGGUGGUGGUUGCCAGUUUUCUGGCGGUAGCAGUG
rnacentral:antisense_RNA from 1 species